GGGUAACCUCAAAUCAGGUAGGGAUACCCGCUGAACUUAAGCAUAUCAAUAAGCGGAGGAAAAGAAACCAACAGGGAUUGCCCUAGUAACGGCGAGUGAAGCGGCAAAAGCUCAGAUUUGGAAUCUGGCGCCAUUGUGGCGUCCGAGUUGUAGUCUGAAGAGGGGAAUUCAAGUGUAGCUUUGGCUUAAGUUCCUUGGAACAGGACGUCAUAAGGGUGAAA
rnacentral:rRNA from 1 species